UUUGAAAAGAGGUUAAGUCUUUCAUGCUUAAAGAUCGACGAUUCUUUUUUAUGUAGGUUGCUGUUGUGGCCGUACUAUGUGUACAACCAGAACCUUUUUACCGGCCGCGCAUGACAGAUAUCGUUCACUCUUUGAUUUCGUUGGUUCCAGUUGAAUUGGGAGAGACCCUAAGGACUAACAUAGGAUGGUGAGAGUCAUGCAUUGCUCGUCAUAGUGUCUCAACAGCAGAAUCCACAAAAACCUUUCUGUUACUUUUGAUUGACCAGCUAUAAAAACGUCUACUGCAUGUUUGUAAAUUUUACCGAGAUUCUUUAAUCAUAAAUCGAUCUCUCUUUGGCUUAUUUGACAACGGUACUAAUUAGUCAGUUAAUGAUGUUUGUCACUGGAAAAAAAGGUUCAUUCUUUUAAUUUACUUUACAUUUAGACAAGUAAACAAGGGACAUUAGUAUAAUCUAUGAAAGGUCGACUUCGACUAAAUGGUAAGAUGAAAAGAGUUGGAAAUUUUGAAGCAGACUUGAUAACUAUGAUUUAUUUUAAGGAGGCUCCCAAUACAAGACACUGAUAUCGACAUAAAGGUCGUUUCCGCUCUUUAGAUAUAAGAUCUAUAGCUUUUCCUACGCUAAAAGUGAAACACGAUCUGACGUAGAAGCAAAAGCAUACACUCAAAUAAAUGGGAAGUCAGAUAGAUACCGGGUGAUACAGAGCAAAGUCAUUAUUUUAGUGACGAAAAUAAAAUCUUUGCAUGAAAAUCUAUCCACCCACAUAAUAUGCUUGUUUGCUUCUAAGCAUCUGUUGCAUGAUGCAGCUCUUUAGUUGACAUUAUGGUAGGAGUCAAUAAUGGCGUCCGCAAGAUACUCGCACUUGGCCAAAGACAGCCCAGCUAAUGAUAUCCUUCCAUCUUUCGUCAUGUAUAUGUGCCACUUAUUGGUCAUAUUAUCGCUCUGUGCAGUAAAAACACAAACUCACAUUAGCAAGUAUAUAAAUGACACAUGUAACUGAAACACUUCUAACAAGAGAAGAUUAUAGUUGGUAUGAUUUCAUCAUUCGUGGAAGUUGGAGCCAGUGGCAAUGCAAGAGUUUGUCUGAUUGUCUGUGCAAAACGCACACACAUUCUCAACUUCAGCACUAAUAAAGUAAUCAUUACUAGUCGGUCGUCACACUGAUAGCAACGCAUUAAGAACAAAACCAUCCAUUCACGUCUGAACAUAAUAUUACUGAAUGAAGGUAUUAUUGGUUGAAAAUCAGGACAACAUGAACAGUCACAUUUGUUCUUCACGCUGGUCAUAUAUAUAUCAGCACAGAUCAAACAGCAUAGUAGAUAGUAAUUAAACUAAGUGGGAUAGAUGAAGCAUUCAGUAAAUGAUGCUAUAAGAUGAUUCUAACCUUGCUGCAGUAUCUGCUGAUGAGCAGACGACAUUGAUAGCUCCAAUCCUCUCCGAAUAGAGACCUAGAUUUUUGCUGUAUGACUGAGCAACAAAAAUCUCCAUACCACGCGCAGCAAAUAGUCUUACUGAUGAUGCAUCCUCGUCAAGGCUUCCACUAGCAAAGCCCU
rnacentral:lncRNA from 1 species